GGACGAACGCUGGCGGCGUGCUUAACACAUGCAAGUCGAACGGAAAGGCCCUGCUUUUGUGGGGUGCUCGAGUGGCGAACGGGUGAGUAACACGUGAGUAACCUGCCCUUGACUUUGGGAUAACUUCAGGAAACUGGGGCUAAUACCGGAUAGGAGCUCCUGCUGCAUGGUGGGGGUUGGAAAGUUUCGGCGGUUGGGGAUGGACUCGCGGCUUAUCAGCUUGUUGGUGGGGUAGUGGCUUACCAAGGCUUUGACGGGUAGCCGGCCUGAGAGGGUGACCGGCCACAUUGGGACUGAGAUACGGCCCAGACUCCUACGGGAGGCAGCAGUGGGGAAUAUUGCACAAUGGGCGGAAGCCUGAUGCAGCAACGCCACGUGCGGGAUGACGGCCUUCGGGUUGUAAACCGCUUUCGCCUGUGACGAAGCGUGAGUGACGGUAAUGGGUAAAGAAGCACCGGCUAACUACGUG
rnacentral:rRNA from 1 species